CCCUUAGAUGUUCUGGGCCGUACGCGCGCUACACUGAUGCAUUCAACGAGUUUCUUCCUGGUCCGAGAGGAAUGGGUAACCUUUUGAAAGUGCAUCGUGAUAGGGAUAGACUAUUGCAAUUAUUGGUCUUCAACGAGGAAUUCCUAGUAGACGUAGUUCAUCAGACUGCAUCGAUUACGUCCCUGCCCUUUGUACACACCGCCCGUCGCUCCUACCGAUUGAAUGCUCAUGUGAGCCAUUCGGACUUUCAUCAUGCUGGUUUCCAGUUUUGAUGAAGGAAAGUCUUGCGAACCUUAUCAUUUAGAGGAAGGAGAAGUCGUAACA
rnacentral:rRNA from 1 species